GGAGUUAGCCGGUGCUUCUUCUGUGAGUGAUGUCCUUCCUGCCGGCUAUUAACCCGCAGGCCUUCUUCCUCACUGAAAGUGCUUUACAACCCGAAGGCCUUCUUCACACACGCGGCAUGGCUGGAUCAGGGUUGCCCCCAUUGUCCAAUAUUCCCCACUGCUGCCUCCCGUAGGAGUCUGGGCCGUGUCUCAGUCCCAGUGUGGCUGAUCAUCCUCUCAGACCAGCUACGGAUCGUCGCCUUGGUGAGCCGUUACCUCACCAACCAGCUAAUCCGACAUAGGCUCAUCCGAUAGCGCGAGGCCCGAAGGUCCCCCGCUUUCCCCCGUAGGGCGUAUGCGGUAUUAGCCUGGGUUUCCCCAGGUUAUCCCCCACUACCGGGCAGAUUCCUAUGCAUUACUCACCCGUCCGCCGCUCGCCACCAGGGAGCAAGCUCCCCGUGCUGCCGCUCGACUUGCAUGUGUUAGGCCUGCCGCCAGCGUUCAUCUGAGCCAGGAUACAAACUCUGA
rnacentral:rRNA from 1 species